UACAGAGGUCUCAAGCGUUGUUCGGAUUCAUUGGGCGUAAAGGGUGCGCAGGCGGCGCGGUAAGUCGGGUGUGAAAUCUCGGAGCUUAACUCCGAAACUGCAUUCGAUACUGCCGUGCUUGAGGACUGGAGAGGAGACUGGAAUUUACGGUGUAGCGGUGAAAUGCGUAGAUAUCGUAAGGAAGACCAGUGGCGAAGGCGGGUCUCUGGACAGUUCCUGACGCUGAGGCACGAAGACCAGGGGAGCAAACGGG
rnacentral:rRNA from 1 species